CCGGGUUUAUUUUUCAGCGCAACAACACUUGCUGAUUCCUAUCAUUCAGUUCAGGAACUUCUUUUUGACUUAUUUUCAAUUAGAAAGAGUAAACAGACCUUAAAAUCAAUCCGCACGAGUGGCAAUCAGGUCAACACAAUGGAAAAAAAGCGACUUCAUUCAGCCGGCCGGUUCAGAUCUCAGGAGGUGUUUCCGUGUCAUCGCCAAACAUUUAACUUAAGAACAGCUUAUGUGUUUUGUAGCUCUGUAUUCUGCCAAUAAUAUUAUUAUAUUAUAUUAUAUUUGUGUCUUAUAAGUGUCAAUAAUAUAAUUCGUUAGCUGGAUUAACUGUUAACUGCGUCGUUUUGACAUCUGACAUGGCAGCACCGAAGCAUGUGCAAGAACGUAAAAUGUCUGAUUGCUUAAAUAUUAAUCUCGGUGGAAUUGCCCAAAUUAUGAUUUAAGCGGUUUUAUAGCGGAUUAUUUUCUGGAGGAUAAUGGUGAUGAUGAACAGGACACAUUCUUUGACGAAACUGAAGAGGAAUUUGACGGCAGUGACCAACAUGAUGAUGAGGACGAGCCAGUUUUGGUGAUUGAACCUCAACCUAUUAUAGACUGGCGAAUCUGAAGAGGGAACACCAACAAGAAGAAUUUGCUUCUAAUGCUGGAAUUCCAGAUGUAAAACUGAAAAUAAGUUUCUCUUGCAACUGCAAGUAUUUCAAUGCUGAAAAGUGUUCUUCAUUUUUCAAGGAGGGAGAGUUGCUGUCACUCAGGAUGAGUCAUUUGGAGAUGGACAAUACUGUACUAGACAUGGUAGUUUUAGUACAAAUACAAAGUCACUUGCACUCUGGGGAAGAAA